rnacentral:rRNA from 1 species
CAAUAGCGUAUAUUAAAGUUGUUGCGGUUAAAAAGCUCGUAGUUGGAUUUCUGCUGAGGAUGACCGGUCCGCCCUCUGGGCAGGUAUCUGGCUCAGCCUUGGCAUCUUCCUGAAGAACGCAGCUGCACUUGACUGUGUGGUGCGGUAUUUAGGACAUUUACUUUGAGGAAAUUAGAGUGUUUCAAGCAAGCGCACGCCUUGAAUACAUUAGCAUGGAAUAAUAGGAUAGGACCUCGGUUCUAUUUUGUUGGUUUCUAGAACUGAGGUAAUGAUUGAUAGGGACAGUUGGGGGCAUUUGUAUUUCGUCGCUAGAGGUGAAAUUCUUAGAUUGACGAAAGACAAACUGCUGCGAAAGCGUCUGCCAAGGAUGUUUUCAUUGA